UACAGAGGUCUCAAGCGUUGUUCGGAUUCAUUGGGCGUAAAGGGUGCGUAGGCGGCGCGGUAAGUCGGGUGUGAAAUCUCGGAGCUUAACUCCGAAACUGCAUUCGAUACUGCCGUGCUUGAGGACUGGAGAGGAGACUGGAAUUUACGGUGUAGCGGUGAAAUGCGCAGAUAUCAGGAAGAACACCUAUGGCGAAGGCAGCUCUCUGGGACGGUACUGACGCUGAGACGCGAAAGCGUGGGGAGCGAACAGG
rnacentral:rRNA from 1 species